GCGGUAAGACGUAGGACGCGAGCGUUAUCCGGAAUAACUGGGCGUAAAGGGCCAGCAGNCGGCUUGGUAAGUUGUGCGUGAAAGCCUCGUGCUCAACGCGAGGAAGCCGGACAAUACUGUCAAGCUAGAGGGCAUCAGAGGGGAGUGGAAUUCCCGGAGUAGCGGUAAAAUGCGCAGAUAUCGGGAGGAACACCGAUGGCGAAGGCAGCUCCCUGGGAUGCACCUGACGCUAAGAGGCGAAAGCUAGGGGAGCGAACAGGAUUAGAGACCCUGGUAGUCCUAGCUGUAAACGCUGGGUGCUAGGUGUGGGACGUAGAAGUUCCGUGCCGGAGCAAACGCGAUAAGCACCCCGCCUGGGAAUUACGGUCGCAAGGCUAAAACUCAAACGAAUUGACGGGGCCCCGCACAAGCAGCGGAGCGUGUGGUUCAAUUCGAUGCUACACGAAGAACCUUACCUGGGUUUGACAUGUACGUGGUACGAAGGCGAAAGCCUAAGGACCCUUCGGGGAGCGUGCACAGGUGCUGCAUGGCUGUCGUCAGCUCGUGCCGUGAGGUGUCGGGUUAAGUCCCGUAACGAGCGCAACCCUUGCCCUUAGUUACAAGUGUCUAAGGGGACUGCCGGCGGGAAGCCGGAGGAAGGUGGGGAUGACGUCAAGUCAGCAUGGCCCUUAUGUCCAGGGCUACACACACGCUACAAUGGUCAGUACGAAGGGUAGCGAAGUCGCGAGGCGGAGCGAAUCUCAACAAAGCUGAUCGUAGUUCGGAUUGCAGGCUGCAACCCGCCUGCAUGAAGCUGGAGUUGCUAGUAACCGCGCGUCAGCCAUAGUGCGGUGAAUACGUACCCGGGGCUUGUACACACCGCCCGUCACGUCAUGGGAGUCGGUAACGCCUGAAGCCGGUAGUCUGGCCCGCAAGGGGGACGCUGUCGAAGGCGGGACUGGCAACUGGGACGAAGUCGUAACAAG
rnacentral:rRNA from 1 species